ensembl:lncRNA tiggrin-like
UGAUCUCAUGCUACCUCACAAACAAGGCCAGUGCCUGAGGUGCUUAAAGGGCAACUUGCUAAGGUAGAUUCAUGUUUGACUUUACACUCAAGAUCAAGGAGCUAGAAGGAUGGUGGUUUCAGACCUGUUGUUAGCUGCAGAAAGGCUCAAAAGUGAGAAGAAGUUUCUUAGCAAUAUGAUUAUCAAACUAGUUGGGGAGAACCAGCAGCUAUUGAGAGAAAACAAGCAAUUUAGAGAACAGAUCAGAAGGCUGCAAUACCCACAGCGAUGUACGAAAAGACCAUUGGAGAAGAUGAAGAUGGAUGGUGGAAUGAAGAUCAAGAAGCCACAGGCAAUCAAGGAUCAGCAGGAGGAGCUCUGUGUUUCUAGAUUUCAUGGCUGUCACCUUGCCAAGCAUCAAGACUGUCUGAGGAAUACUAUGGCUCACCAUGGAAUGCUGCAUCAUGAUUCUGCUCUGACCUCUGCUUCUGUCAGCUGUCAUCGUCUAAGCCACGCAGCAUCUGGGCAUUGUUUGGAGCAUGAAUUAUUCAGCUAUCCAAAGAGAUGCUUGCAAUGCUGGGGAAAGAAGAUGGAAGAAAAAGGGGGAGGUUUUUUCAAGGAACAACUACAUAUGCUUGAAUUAAGAGCAGCUUUGACAGAACAAGAAAAACAUUUUGAGAGACUACAGAUGAAAAUAAAUCACUUACAAGAUGAUCUCAAGAACUCUGAGCUACGCGCUACAUUACAGGUAGAGGAGUUGAAGGACUAUCAUGGGUCAUGGAUGUGUGAAAUAGAUGUGGAUCAUGUAGGAUCACAAAUGAACAGAACAGGCAAAAAAAGUUAUGUGUACAUAUGGCAAAAAAGUAGUAAUGAUAAAAAAACUGAAGAUGACACAGAAAACAUACAGAAAGAACAUGAAAGUCUUGAAAAGCAGAGUCCUAAAGUGGUACCCCAAAAUAAUCUAAGCAAGGGAUGGCUUGAAGCUUCCAUAGAAAUGCUCAAAAAAAGAGAUUCUAAAUCAGCCGAAGAAAAUGUACUGGGAUGGCUUCAAGAAUCCAUGGACAGACUCAAACAGAAAGGGUCUGAAGCAUCAACACAAAGUUUGGAAGAAUGGCUUACAAAAUCCUUUAACAAUCUUGAGAAGGAAUGUUCCGAAACUUCCAGACAGGAUGUGAAAGAAUGGCUUGAAGUAUCCAUAAGUUACCUCAAAGAAGAAGGGCCUGACACAUCCCAUAUGAACAUCGAGGAAUGGCUUGAAGCAUCCAUGAAAAGCAUACAAGACCUUCAACAGCAAAAUUAUGAAGCAUCCAAAAUGAAUAUGGAAGCAAAUUGUGAGGAGGUGGUGCCAGUGCCUCUAUGUUCCAAACAGUGUAUAAAGACCGGAUGGCUUCAAGAAUCCCUGGAGAAUCUCAAAACAAGAGGCUCUAAAUCAUCCAGAGAGAAUGUGCAUCAAUGGCUUCAAGAAUCACUUAAAAGUCUUAAAGAGCAAGCUUCUGAAGUACCCCAAAAGAGCCUGCAGGAGUGGCUUAGUGAAUCCAUCAGGAAUCUUCAAGACACAGGUCUUGAAACAUUCAGGCAGGAUGUGAAGAUAUGGCUUGAAACUUCCAUUAAAAAUUUCCAAGAGGAAGGGCCUGAAACAUAUUGUUUAAGUGUGCAAGAAUGGCUUGAGGAAUCUUUGAAAAGCCUGCAAGAAGUAUCAAAACAGGAUGUACAGGGAUUGCCUAGACCAUCCAUGGAAACCCCCCUACAGAAUGGUUCUGUAGCAUCUAUAAAAGGCCUCAAGAAAGGAAGCACAGGUGCAUCUCAUAUAACUGUGCAGGAUCAAAGUAUCAUGGAAAAUCAUGAAAAAUCUAGACUGAAUGUGGCAAACUGGCUUCAAGAAUCCUUAAAGAGCCUCAUAGAUGAAGGUCCUUUGGCAUCCAGGCAGAAUGUGCAGGAAUGGCUUGAAGAAUCUUUGAAAAGUGUGGAUGAUGAAUAUCCUGAGGCAUCAAGAAAGGAUUUGAGGGAAUGGCUUGAAGCAUCCAUAAAGAGUUUCCAAGAAGGAGGUCCAGAAGUACCUGGGCAGAACUUGCAGGAUUUCCUAAAGGCAUCAAUUAUGGACAUUAUAGAGGAAGAACCUGAAUCAUGUGACCACAGUGUGAAAGAAUGGCUUGAAAAAUCCAUAAAAAGUGUUAACGAGGCAGCCUCCAGAAUAAAGGUACAAAAAUGGCUUGAAGGAUCAAUGAAAACUCUUGAAGAGGCAGGAGCUGACAUAUCCCAACAGAACCUUGAACAAUGGCUUGAAACAUCCAUGCAAAAUCUCAAUGGGAGAUGCUCUGAAACAUCUAAACAUGAAGUGAAAGAAUGGCUUGAGGCAUCUCUAAGGAACCUCCAACAGCAAGGUCUUGAUGCAUCUAAAGUAAAUUUAAAAGAAUGGCUUGAGGCAUCUGUAACGAGUCUUAGAAAGCAAGGUCCUAAAGAAUCCAUAACAGAUGUGCAGGAAUGGCUUGAAGAAUCCAUACAGAGUCUUAAGCAGGAAGCAUGCAGACUAAAUGUUGAAGAAUGGCUUUCAGAAUCCCUGGAAUACCUCCAGAAAGAAGAUCCUGAAGCACUGAAAGAGGAUGUGAAGGAAUGGCUUGAAGAUUCCCUCGCAAACCUUCAUGAAAUAUGUCCUGAAGCAUCUAGACAGGCUGUAAAGAGAUGGCUUAAAACAUCCAUGAAGGGUCUCCAUGAGGUACCCAAAGAGGACCUUCAGAACUUCUUAAUGACAUCGAUGAGCGAUCUCAGAUUGAAAAGUCUUGCAGCAUCUAGAAAAAACAAUAUGGACUGGCUUAAAGUGCCAGAGUGCUUAGUGGAAUCUAGAGAUACCUUAGAGAAAAUAAAGCACAACUUAGCUAGAAGAAAAGUAUACUCGGCACAGCAUGAUGCCUUCGGACCCAAGAAAACCCAAACAAACUUUGAGCGAGAAGAACCUGCUGUGCCCCAGCUAAUCAUUUUUCAACCAAAACAGGCUUUAACCAGGCUAUGGAACAUCAUCUUAUGGUACAGGACUCACCCCUUGAAAUUCUUCAAUCACCUUCUGUGCAUUCUCAUUCCCUUCAUGCUGCUGGUUGCCGUCUACAAAUAUUACCAGCAGUGCUGUAUAACCUGCUUAUUCCAGCGUGGCCUUAGACCUCACUAACCAUACCAGCUCUUGGCAGCAUCUUGAAAAUACAGAGGGAUUUUGUUAUAUUUCAUCUGGAAUUGCAGUUUUGGAAAAUAAUACCUUCUUACAAGAUUACAUAUGGGAUAAUAGCAUUUUGUUCUUCUUUCCCUAAUCGCAACGGUUACACAUCUUGACAGAAUCUAAGACCUUUGUCUAGAACAGUAGAUGGAUGGAGUUCCCGCAGUACUGCGCUGAUGCAGGUAUUUUAAUAAUUAGGGGGAGAAUUUUGAUGAUAUUUUACAUUUUCUCUACAACCUACAUUUGAACCCAUAAGCAAAUUCAAAAAUGUAUAUGAAUAAUUUGACCAUUCUCACCAGAUUAGUCAUAAACAUGUUCAAACAUAGGUCCAGCUACAUUUUAACAUCACCUAAAUCUAGAAGAGCUUAACCAGAUUUAAUGUGUUCCCUUCUAAUCUCCUAGAAGGGAGACUUCAAGACAUACCCUAUUCUGAUCAUUUAUGUCCUUGCGAUGGCGGUGGAGUAGAAACAGUGAGGCAUGUUGUCUUAUACAGUACUGUCAUUUCUAUCGAGAUCUCCACAGGGAUAUUCUCUCCCCUAUUUUUCAAAACUUUCCAGGGAGAUUCGACAAAUUUUAUAUUCUUUUGCUGCUCUCGGAUAAGUUUUCUUACAUUAGUAGUAAAGUGGCCAAAUACUCUGCUGCCGCAAUAGCUUGCCGCAGUCUCCUGACCACAUAAGGUCUUCAAGUGCCCCCACCCUUGUUAGAGAUGUCUUGUUUAACUUGCUUUCUAGGAGAGUUGGGGUGGUAUACAGAUGGUUAUAUGUGUCUCCUAAUUUCAUCCUAUACCACGUGACUGCUGUGAUGUUUUAAAAGCUUUUACAUCCUUCAGUGCUGCUGGCUAACUCAAAACGUCUUUUUUAACUUUAAUGUUGUAAAAGAGCCAGAGGGUACAUUGAUGGUGUUAUGUCUUGACCAAUGUCUCUGAUAUUAUGUGAUUUUAUCUAAAUUAUGUAUUCUUAUCUUCCUGGUCACUAGCCGUAAUAAAUUAUUAUUAUUACACUUUAUCUUGUUUAAG